rnacentral:rRNA from 1 species
AGAGCGAACGCUGGCGGCAGGCCUAAAACAUGCAAGUCGAACGGACCCUUCGGGGUUAGUAGCGGACGGGUGAGUAACACGUGGGAACGUGCCUUUUGGUUCAGAACAACUCAGGGAAACUUGAGCUAAUACUGAAUAAGCCCUACGGGGGAAAGAUUUAUCGCCAUUAGAGCGGCCCGCGUUGGAUUAGCUAGUUGGUGAGGUAAAGGCUCACCAAGGCUACGAUCCAUAGCUGGUCUGAGAGGAUGAUCAGCCACACUGGGACUGAGACACGGCCCAGACUCCUACGGGAGGCAGCAGUUAGGAAUCUUGCGCAAUGGGCGAAAGCCUGACGCAGCCAUGCCGCGUGAAUGAUGAAGGUCUUAGGAUUGUAAAAUUCUUUCAGCGGGGAAGAUAAUGACUGUACCCGCAGAAGAAGCUCCGGCUAACUUCGUGCCAGCAGCCGC